GCUCAAUUACAGUUCUUUUGACAAGAGUUCAUAAAACCUAGGCAAGCAUUCGUAAUGGCAUCAUCAACCAUUAUAUAUAUAUAUAGAUUAACAAAUGAAUCUUAAUGUUUCACAUUAAACAUUCAUAUACAUAUAAUUAGACCUUGACCGUCAGCGGAGUGACUCUGGGCAUGGUUGCUAACAUUUAAUGUCAUGGUAAACCUACCGAGCAAUGGAUCGGGAGGAGCACCUCGUCUUAGGAUCCAAUCACCUUUGACUUUGAAAAAAAACCUAAAACAUGAAUUUUAAAAACGUGAGUACAAAGUCAAUGAGUGAACAUAAGAAGGGAACAAGCAACAUUAAGGAAGCUUAAAAAUCAUGAUGCACUUAAGUUCGAAAACAAUACAACUUAGUUCAAGUUCUUAUUAAAAUCCCUCCAUUUAGCCCCUGGUUAUUAAAUCAUUUAAGGAUGAAGGAACCAUAUUCAGCAUGAAAUUAGAAAGAAAGGAAAUUUCCAGCAAUCAUUCAAGCAAGGCAGUAUAAACAGAAUGUUUCUUACUGCAAUAAAAUCAAUUCACAAGUAAAUGGGAAAUUUUCAAGAGUCAUCAUGCCAUAUAAUCACAUAUUAUAAUCAUAAUCUUUCUAUUGCAUAUACAUAUACUUAAGCAUAUAUCAACUAGUAUAUCACCACAUCUCAUCCAGCUCCUGUGCAUCCCCCCACAUCGUGCUCAUAGCCGGACAUCCCAUCUCACCCAGCUCAUGUGCAUCCCCCCACAUCGUGCACUUAGCCAGAGUCAUCAUGUGCAUCCCCCCACAUCGUGCACAAAAUAAUGCCAUCGUGUACAUCCCCCCACAUCGUGCACACGGGCAGUGUCACCAUCCAUCUCCUUCACCACUGUCAUCACCGGCAAGUGCACCUCACCCCGCACAUGCACGGUUGCAUUUGUCACACAAUGGUACCAUUUAUGACAUAGUAUAUAUAUAUAUAUAUAUAUCCACAUUAUACAGAAACAUAUGAAUUCAUCACACUAUCCAUUUCAUAACAUAAAAACAUUUCAUAAAGGCUUGUUCCCGUGUAAGUUGUUGAAGAAAAACCAAUAAAACAUUUUAGAGGAUUCAAUCAAACAUAAAUGUGUAUAUCCCAAAACAUUUUAAUGCAAGUUCACUCACUUGGCAACAAUGAGAUAUUAAGUCACUAUUUGUUUGGAGGUGUCUCUAACUAUUUUCACUGGCCAGUCGCUCGUUAUUUACUCUGGCAUGCCACCAUAGUACUCUAACCUUAUCUUUGCACUUCCUAGCAAUAAUAUGAACUCAAUAUAUUUAAUUACAUAUGUAUACGAGCAGCACUUCAAUGAAUUAAUCUUUACUCAAAUUUAUAGUUUUCAUCCUACCAUGAAACCAUCUUCAAUUAACUCACAUCUUAAUACAUUUUUACUGAAAUUACUUAUAUCAGUUGCUUACGUAAUUCCUUAUUUUAUAUCUCCGACAACUUAUUUAUGAUGUCAUGUUCCUAUUUCAAUCUUUCUAAAUAAUUUUCACCCAAAGCCAUCUUGUAUUUCCACAGUAUUAACUAUAUUUAUGGCAGCCAUAGUUAUUUCAAAUCUAUCCAAUUAUUUUCUAAUUUUUUCCACCUUAUUUCUUCCAAAUAUUAUACCAUUCAACUUAACACUUUCAACUAGUUCCUCCGACAACAAUAAUUCUUCACAACGAAUCAUUUAAAAUUUCUUAACUACACUUGAGCACUGUUCAUCAAUUUCAUAUUUUUUUCUUUGCGUUAGUCCUAUAAGACAUCAUAAAAGAAUUUUUAAAUAUUGUAUUAAAGUAAUUUAAAUUUAAUUCAUACCACUAAUAACUAAAAUUUAACUAAACAAGUGGGCUAGCCCCAAUUAAUCCAACUUCAUAACAAGCCCAAUAAAAGCAAGGAAAUUUUUACCUAUUUGGGCUAGGUUAGCCCAAGCCCAAGUCUCCCCCUUUAUUCUCUUUUGGACUUUUCUUUCUUUGUUGCUAUUGGGCCCUUUCCAUCCGAUUUCUUCCUAUUGGGCCAUGCCUAUUCUUUUC
rnacentral:lncRNA from 1 species